GGACUGGGAUAACCCUGGGAAACUGGGGCUAAUACCGGAUAGGCAAUUUUUCCUGGAAUGGUUUUUUGUUUAAAUGUUUUUUCGCCUAAGGAUGGGUCUGCGGCCGAUUAGGUAGUUGGUUAGGUAAUGGCUUACCAAGCCGUUGAUCGGUACGGGCUGUGAGAGCAAGAGCCCGGAGAUGGAACCUGAGACAAGGUUCCAGGCCCUACGGGGUGCAGCAGGCGCGAAACCUCCGCAAUGUGAGAAAUCGCGACGGGGGGAUCCCAAGUGCCAUUCUUAACGGGAUGGCUUUUCAUUAGUGUAAAGAGCUUUUGGAAUAAGAGCUGGGCAAGACCGGUGCCAGCCGCCGCGGUAACACCGGCAGCUCUAGUGGUAACAAUUUUUAUUGGGCCUAAAGCGUCCGUAGCCGGUUUAAUAAGUCUCUGGUGAAAUCCUGUAGCUUAACUGUGGGAAUUGCUGGAGAUACUAUUAGACUUGAGACCGGGAGAGGUUAGAGGUACUCCCAGGGUAGAGGUGAAAUUCUGUAAUCCUGGGAGGACCGCCUGUUGCGAAGGCGUCUAACUGGAACGGUUCUGACGGUGAGGGACGAAAGUUAGGGGCGCGAACCGGAUUAGAUACCCGGGUAGUCCUAACUGUAAACGAUGCGGACUUGGUGUUGGGGUGGCUUUGAGCUGCUCCAGUGCCGAAGGGAAGCUGUUAAGUCCGCCGCCUGGGAAGUACGGUCGCAAGACUGAAACUUAA
rnacentral:rRNA from 1 species